UUUGUUGCGGGAAGCACAACUCCCUCCAUCCAUCCACCCAACUCAUCCUCAAAACUCAGAAACUGUCCAUCAACCACUUUGAUCUCCGUGGAUUGAUCUCCGUGGACUGCAGUAGCAAAACUUAGGACACGCACCCAUUAGUUAAUGAAGCAGCUCCUCGUCGUCAUCGUGGGUUGCUGAAGCAGUAGUGGGUGAUGUGGGUCUCCCCUGCAGUUGUAAGGUGCACCAAGAGGCUCCUCUGUUCAUCCUCCUCCUCCUUCCCCAAACCCAAGUUCCUCUCUGCCUCCGCCUGUCUCCUCGACUCCCACCCUCCCGAAGUACUACAAUUCGACUCUCCCGCUUCCGUUGCCGCCGCAGUGAACCAGCUUAAGCACCAUCCCGACCCCGAUCUCGCCUUCUCCUUCGUUCUUCACCUGGAUUCGUGUGGCUUCCCUCUCGACCCUCCCACUUACGCCUCCCUCAUCUCCAUCCUCUCCCCCUCCGCCUCCCGCUUCCGCCUCGAUUUCGUCUUCUGCCGCCUCAUCGCCUCCUUCCAUGCCGCACGGCGCACUGCUAUUCCUUCCUUACUUGAUUCUCUUGCUCGGCUGGGCGGGUCCCCUCUCCUCCUUCGGUCUAUUGAUUUCCUCGUCAAGGCCUAUGUUCGCGCUGGCCUCUUGGAUGAAGCUAUUGAUUCCUUGUUCCGCUUCAAGAGGGGCGCCCUCCUUCCCUGCGUCUCUACCUGUAAUUUCCUCCUCAACCGCUUGAUUGAAAGCCGCAAUCCCGCUGCUGCCAUUACUCUGUAUGAGAUGCUGAGGCGGUUCGAUUUUAUUGCCAAUGACUACACCUAUGCCAUCUUGAUCAAGGCCUUUUGCAGGGCUUGUGACUUGGACGGAGCUGCUCGCGUGUUCCAUCACAUGGUCGAGGCUGGAGUCACCCCUAAUAGCUUUGCUUACACUACCUACCUCGAAGGCCUCUGCACCCACCGCCGCUCCCAUUUGGCUUAUCAGGUUCUCCUAGCUUGGCGGUCUGCAGGGAUCUCCUUGAUUGACUACGCCUAUACUGCAGUCCUCCGUGGUUUUUGUACCGAAAUGAAGUUGGAAGAGGCAGAGCAAGUCCUGGUCGAUAUGGAAGAGCACGGCAUUGUAGCCGAUGUCUACUCCUAUGCUGCCUUGAUUCAUGGCCAUUGCAAGAGUUUCAAUUUGCCGCGAGCCCUGGCUCUGCACGAUUAUAUGCUGUCAAAAGGUAUCAAGUCCAACUGCGUUAUCAUAAGCACCCUUCUCCAGUGCUUCUGUGAUAUGGGCAUGCCUCAUGAAGCAGUGCAUCAGUUUAAUGAAUUUAAAGAGUCGGGCAUUUUUCUGGAUGAGGUUACAUACAAUAUUGCUGUCGUUGCUCUGUGCAAGCUGGGCAGAGUGGAAGUGGCCGCAGAGUUACUUGAAGAGAUGAAGGGCAAGCAAAUGGUUCUUGAUAUCGUGCACUACACAACUUUAAUCAGUGGCUACUGUCUCCGGGGCGACAUUUACAAUGCAUUGGAUGUGCUCGAGCAGAUGAAGAAGAGAGGUUUUCAGCCUGAUAUUGUCACUUACAAUGUACUUGCCCACGGAUAUUCUCGGGCAGGACUUGUGAAUGAGGCGCGUGAGCUUCUAAGACAUAUGGACACUUGCGGUGUGAAACCCAACGUUGUCACGCACAACAUGAUAAUUGAGGGCUUAUGUAUUUCAGGUAAAGUCGAGGAAGCUGAAGUGUUUUUCUCUGGCCUGCAAGAGAAGAGAACAGAGAAUAAAGCUGCCAUGUUCAGGGGGUAUUGCCAAGCCAACCAUUCAAGGAAGGCCUUUAAACUUUUCAUGGAGUUAGCAAAAGCAGAAAAAAAGUCAGUAAAGAAAAAUUCCUGCUUCAAAUUGCUAGCUAACCUUUUUGUUGAAGGUGAUGAUGUUAUGGCUCGUAAAUUACUCAACAAAAUGUUGGAUCUGGACAUGGAACCUACUGGAGUGAUGUACAGUAUUUUGAUGGCUGCUCUUUGCAAAGCUGGUGAUAUGAUAAAUGCGCAGUGGUUGUUUGAUAGAUCAGUGGAGAAGGGAUCAACCCCUGAUGUUGCCACUUAUACGUUAAUGAUGGAUGGAUACUUUCACGCAAAUCGCUUGCAGGAAGGGCUUGAUCUUUUCCAUGAAAUGAAGAAUAGAGGGGUUGAGCCUGAUGUAAUUGCUUAUACAGUGUUACUUGAUGGUUAUUCAAAAGUAGAUCUUCGAAGGAAAUGUUCCCUUCACGAUAGAAACAAAACAAAGAAAGUAACAGGGGAUUCCGGAGCAAAUAAUGUCAUCAAAAUGCUUUGGCUGGAGAUGAAAGACAAAAUAGCACCUGAUGUAAUUUGUUAUACCGUUUUGAUUGACAGGCUUUGUAAGCUUGGCAACAUUGAGGAAGCUGAGGAUUUAUUGAGGGAAAUGAUUGGAACUGGGCUUCAGCCAGAUGUGGUAACUUACACAUCUCUUAUAUCUGGCUGCUGUAGUAAGGGAAACAUGGAAAGGGCUGAAUAUCUUUAUAAAGAAAUGUUGUUUAAGGGAAUAGUACCUGAUAUGCGGACCAUCUCUGUUUUACAGUCUGCUGAACUUCAAGCCUGAAAAGUGCAGAUACUGAGGCGAGUAAGUGACGAAAUCAAAGAGAUACUAGGUGCUGAUCUCAUAGUGCUUAAGCUGCCAAGAGCGAGAGCAGAGCGCCUUUCCUUAAAUUUGCUAUGAGUACUCAAUAGAGAGCAGAAGCUUCUUGCAUGUUCGUGGAAAUGCUGGUAUGCCUUGGCUUCUUUCAUGGAUUUAAAUCAGGCAAUGCAUAAUCUGUGCAUUAUUUCUUUGCUGACUCAUGUAUCUUUUCUCUCUAGAUGAAUGAGAUUAAAAUUCUUGUGUUGGAAGAAGUAUAUUGUAUCCAUAUUUGAAAAGUAUUUCUAGUUCCGAUAGCUUACGUUAUAUUAUUGUAGUAAAUGUA